CGCAAUGGGCGAAAGUCUGACGGAGCGACGCCGCGUGAUUGAUGAAGCUUUUCGGAGUGUAAAGAUCUUUUAUGAGGGAAGAAGUUUAUUGACGGUACCUCAUGAAUAAGGGGCUCCUAAUCUCGUGCCAGCAGGAGCGGUAAUACGAGAGCCCCGAGCGUUAUCCGGAAUUAUUGGGCGUAAAGGGUGCGUAGGUGGUAGUGUUAGUCGUUUGUUAAAUCUCUGGGCUUAACCCAGAAACCGCGAACGAAACGGCACAACUAGAGAGUGUGAGGGGUAUAGGGAACUAAUAGUGUAGGGGUGAAAUCCGUUGAUAUUAUUGGGAACACCAAAAGCGAAGGCACUAUACUAGCACAUAUCUGACACUCAAGCACGAAAGCGU
rnacentral:rRNA from 1 species